rnacentral:rRNA from 1 species
UUGAAUAAAAUUGGUUGAGUUGGUGCUGACUCUUUGGAGUAUGUGCACACUCACACCAUUUUUAACCACCUGUGCACCAUCUGUAGACUUUAAAUGCUUGAGGAUUGCGAAAUCAGCUAUUCUCGUAUUUAGGUCUAUGUCUUUAUAUACACCAUAAUUGUUUAAGAAUGUUAUAUUGGGCCUUUGUGCCUUUAAAUUGAAACAACUUUCAACAACGGAUCUCUUGGCUCUCGCAUCGAUGAAGAACGCAGCGAAAUGCGAUAAGUAAUGUGAAUUGCAGAAUUCAGUGAAUCAUCGAAUCUUUGAACGCACCUUGCGCUCCUUGGUAUUCCGAGGAGCAUGCCUGUUUGAGAGUCAUUAUAUUCUCAACCUCAUUAGUUUUUGCAAGCUAAACGAGGCUUGGAUAAUGGAAGUUGCGGGUUUCUUACUGAAAUCAGCUCUUCUUAAAUGUAUUAGCAGAAUCUUUACUGAAUNAUUCUUUGAUAUGANAAUUAUCUAUAUCAAUGAAGACUCAGUUUAUUCCGCCACCAAUUUGUCCUUUAUUAGACAAUAUAUAUUUGACUAUUUGACCUCAAAUCAGGUAGGACUACCCGCUGA